rnacentral:lncRNA from 1 species
GUUAGUGUGGGUCGCAGAAUUGUUGUGUUUGCAUUGAAGAACCCUCAUCCCCAUCUACCUUAUCAUCUACCUGGUGAUUUGAUUGCGAUGAACCACGGUAACUUGAACGGAGUUGGGCUAACUAUGCAUGACGAAAUCAGAGUCGUCAUCGUCGCUGCUGCUGAAGUUCCUUUCGUCAUCGGCAUGAUUUUCAGGUGAACCAUCUUCUUCAUUAACAUUUUCUUCAUUACCAGCUCCAUCAUUAGCAACCACACUACUGGGCAAAUUGUGUUCCAACUCAACCUCUUCGAUAGGAUUAGCAUCACCUUCGUUGACAGUUCUUUCAUUGACAAAGUCAACCUCUUCAUCGUCGGAUGCAUAAGUUGUCCUCAUCCUCCGUCAUAGCUUGAAUGAAUUCCGGAUCAGUUGUACGAUCUGAGUCAUCUAUCAAAUGCACCACAUCGACAUCCGCUCCAACAACUGAAUUCUCACUAUCUUCAGAUUCUGGGUCACUA